rnacentral:rRNA from 1 species
GGUUAAGUUAGAAAGGGCGCACGGUGGAUGCCUUGGCACUAGGAGCCGAAGAAGGACGGGACUAACACCGAUAUGCUUUGGGGAGCUGUACGUAAGCGUUGAUCCAGAGAUUUCCGAAUGGGGGAACCCACUAUCUUUAGUCGGAUAGUAUCCUUACGUGAAUACAUAGCGUGAGGAAGGCAGACCCAGGGAACUGAAACAUCUAAGUACCUGGAGGAAGAGAAAGAAAAAUCGAUUUCCUGAGUAGCGGCGAGCGAAACGGAAAGAGCCCAAACCAAGAAGCUUGCUUCUUGGGGUUGUAGGACACUCUAUACGGAGUUACAAAAGAAAGUUAUAAAUGAAGCGGUCUGGAAAGGCCCGCCAAAGACGGUAACAGCCCGGUAGUUGAAAUAGCUUUCCCUCCAGAGUGGAUCCUGAGUACGGCGGAACACGUGAAAUUCCGUCGGAAUCCGGGAGGACCAUCUCCCAAGGCUAAAUACUCCCUAGUGACCGAUAGUGAACCAGUACCGUGAGGGAAAGGUGAAAAGCACCCCGGAAGGGGAGUGAAACAGUUCCUGAAACCGUGUGCCUACAAGUAGUUAGAGCCCGUUAAUGGGUGAUAGCGUGCCUUUUGUAGAAUGAACCGGCGAGUUACGAUUUGUUGCAAGGUUAAGCGGAAAAAGCGGAGCCGUAGCGAAAGCGAGUCUGAAUAGGGCGCAUAAGUAACAGGUCGUAGACCCGAAACCAGGUGAUCUACCCAUGUCCAGGAUGAAGGUAAGGUAAUACUUACUGGAGGUCCGAACCCACGCACGUUGAAAAGUGCGGGGAUGAGGUGUGGGUAGCGGAGAAAUUCCAAUCGAACUUGGAGAUAGCUGGUUCUCUCCGAAAUAGCUUUAGGGCUAGCCUCGAGGUAAAGAGUCAUGGAGGUAGAGCACUGUUUGGACUAGGGGCCCUUCUCGGGUUACCGAAUUCAGAUAAACUCCGAAUGCCAUGUACUUAUACUCGGGAGUCAGACUGCGAGUGAUAAGAUCCGUAGUCGAAAGGGAAACAGCCCAGACCACCAGUUAAGGUCCCCAAAUAUAUGUUAAGUGGAAAAGGAUGUGGGGUUGCUUAGACAACCAGGAUGUUGGCUUAGAAGCAGCCACCAUUGAAAGAGUGCGUAAUAGCUCACUGGUCGAGUGACCCCGCGCCGAAAAUGUACCGGGGCUAAACAUAUUACCGAAACUGUGGAUGAACCUCUUUAGAGGUUCGUGGUAGGAGAGCGUUCUAAGGGCGGUGAAGUCAGACCGGAAGGACUGGUGGAGCGCUUAGAAGUGAGAAUGCCGGUAUGAGUAGCGAAAGAAGGGUGAGAAUCCCUUCCACCGAAUAUCUAAGGUUUCCUGAGGAAGGCUCGUCCGCUCAGGGUUAGUCGGGACCUAAGCCGAGGCCGAUAGGCGUAGGCGAUGGACAACAGGUAGAGAUUCCUGUACCAGUGCUAAUUGUUUAACCGAUGGGGUGACACAGAAGGAUAGGGAAUCGCACGAAUGGAAAUGUGCGUCCAAGCAGUGAGUGUGAGAAGUAGGCAAAUCCGCUUCUCGCGAAGCAUGAGCUGUGAUGGGGAAGGAAAUUAAGUACGGAAGUUCCUGAUUUCACGCUGUCAAGAAAAGCCUCUAGGAAGAGUAGUACUGCCCGUACCGCAAACCGACACAGGUAGAUGAGGAGAGAAUCCUAAGGUGAGCGAGAGAACUCUCGUUAAGGAACUCGGCAAAAUGACCCCGUAACUUCGGGAGAAGGGGUGCUCUAUUAGGGUGCAAGCCCGAGAGAGCCGCAGUGAAUAGGCCCAGGCGACUGUUUAGCAAAAACACAGGUCUCUGCAAAACCGUAAGGUGACGUAUAGGGGCUGACGCCUGCCCGGUGCUGGAAGGUUAAGAGGAGUGCUUAGCUUCGGCGAAGGUACGAAUUGAAGCCCCAGUAAACGGCGGCCGUAACUAUAACGGUCCUAAGGUAGCGAAAUUCCUUGUCGGGUAAGUUCCGACCCGCACGAAAGGCGCAACGAUCUGGGCACUGUCUCAACGAGAGACUCGGUGAAAUUAUAGUACCUGUGAAGAUGCAGGUUACCCGCGACAGGACGGAAAGACCCCGUGGAGCUUUACUGCAACCUGAUAUGGAAUGUUUGUACCGCUUGUACAGGAUAGGUAGGAGCCGAAGAGACGUGUGCGCUAGCAUACGAGGAGGCAAUGGUGGGAUACUACCCUGGCUGUAUGACCAUUCUAACCCGCCACGCUUAGCGCGUGGGGAGACAGUGUCAGGUGGGCAGUUUGACUGGGGCGGUCGCCUCCUAAAGAGUAACGGAGGCGCCCAAAGGUUCCCUCAGAAUGGAUGGAAAUCAUUCGCAGAGUGUAAAGGCACAAGGGAGCUUGACUGCGAGACUGACAAGUCGAGCAGGGACGAAAGUCGGGCUUAGUGAUCCGGUGG